UACAAUAAAGAUUGCAUUUAUUCUUUUGUAUUGUUAAAUACAAUGAGGAGAAUAGAAAUGUGUCAUACAAUUAAUAGGAAUAAUCCAGCAAUCAGUAAUGGGGUGAAUAGUAACGAAUUAUUUGUAAAUAAUACAGGAAUCUUAGGAAAUCAAACCUGGCUGAAUCAAGAUGUAGCAACGGGAGUAGAAAUCAUUGAACUUGAUGAUAGUGACGACUCCCAAACAUCAGAUGAAUCACCAAAAGAUAAUUUUGAUCACGCUUGGUGUUACGUAAACAAUACAAGAGCUUCAAAGGAAUUACAAGAUGUUCAUAGAGUAAACACAAUAGCCAGGGAAAAAAGACGUUUAAAAGACCGUGAUCGCCAAAACUUAUUCAGCCCCUGCGAAUAUGUACAUAAUAAUAACACUUUGCUAGGAAACACCGUUGUAACUGCUGGCGAUAACAAAAAUAAUGUUAGAUUAAAUCACCAAAUUAACUGUUUUACCAUAAUUAACAAGCACUUCAUCAAUUCUGACACAUCUUCAGAAAAUAUAGACUACGAUAAUAUAGAAAUGGUUAGACCUAUUGGUGAUGCGUUUAAGGAAAAUCAUGACUUCAAUAAUGUAUUCGGAGACGAGUUACUUAGUGAUAGUGACGCUGAGUAAAGACAAUUUGGAUUUAUUCUUUUAAGAAUAAGCAUCUAUUGUCGGAUGAUUAUAUUGAAAUGAUAAAUAUACCGAGCAACGAAACAGAUAGUUGCAAUUCAUUUUCCUUCGAGAAAUUUGAUGAAGAUUCAGAAAAUAUAAUUAGAGCAGCGUCUCCGAUCCCACCGCCGUUUAUACCAAGAUUGAAUCUCUCACUGGCCCAAACUCUAUCAACUGUUACAGAGAUCACCGAACCUAACAAACACCCUUCAUCUGUUGAAACGGACAGAUCAGGAAAAGUACCUGUGAACCAAAAGCCCAAAAAUAGUUGGUUGUUUAACAAUUACAAAGAUGGUGGAGAUAAUCAAGAGAAAUCCACAAAUGUAGUAAAUUGGAUGGCUUUAUCUCCAAGAGAACGAAGAAGAAUAAUAUGCAGAGAGAGGGAUUCUAAAGCUGAUGUUAUUUAUAAAGGAAAACUUGCAACGUUAAAAGAAGUGUGUCCUAAUGGUGAAGCUAAAGUUCUUGACAAUCAAGAUAAUGGUGAGAAAAUUGAAACUUACAAUAAUAUUCACUCAAGAACUGUUGAUGUUGAAAUACAUGUAAUACCAAAAUUGGAUAUCCAAGAAGUAGAGUCGAAGGGAGUCAUAGUAAACGUGAGCCAACCUGACACAAAACAUAUAGAAGUCGACGAUGAAAAUGUAGUCGAAGUAAUCGCCGAUAAUGAAAACAUAGAAGUCAUUAUGUGUUCUCCUAAACCACAAAUAAAAAUAAGCAAAAAAUGUAUAAACGCGAAAGCUAUAACUGAGCCCAUCGAAAAGCUGAAUACCGAUAAUUGGAUUGUAGAAGAAAGUGCAGAACACACAAUUCCAUUUAGUUUUGAUUUAGAGAGAACGGUAGAUAAUAAUUUUAAUAGAGGUGACAGUGCGCUUACGGCAAAUGAUAGAUUGUGGUCAAAGAACGCUUUAGCUCUCAUGAAACCCGCACAGUGGAAUGAAUACGCACCAAUUGCCGAAAGCCAUUUGUCGCUACAUUUAUCUCUAGACAGCACCAUAGACAAACAAUCAUGGCUAUCGCGACUAAUAAAACUGUUUAAAUGUUGUAAUUAAUCACGUUCUGUAAAUAAAACACAAUAAUGGUUUAAAUUGGCGAAU